AGAAAGACAGGGAGAAAGCAUCAUAUGAGAUACUCUUGCUUUCAACCUUCAUGAUAUGAAAUACUUUUGCUUUUGAUGGGUUGUUUGCAGAGGUAUCCCAGGGAAUAAGGAACACUGAGUGACUUGAGAGGCUUUGUUAGGAAGGCAUUCUCGGAGAUGAAGAAGGGUUAUGUAUGUCUGCCUUGCAAUGGAGGGUGAAGGUCGACAUUUAUAUGAAUUAAUAACCG
rnacentral:lncRNA from 1 species